rnacentral:rRNA from 1 species
GACGAACGCUGGCGGCGUGCCUAACACAUGCAAGUUGAGCGACGAACCAGGGCUUGCCCUGGGGCAAAGCCGCGAACGGGUGAGUAACACGUGGGUAACCUACCCCGAUAACCGGGACAACCCGAGGAAACUCGGGCUAAUACCGGAUGUGCUCACUGGACUUCGGUUCAGUGCGUAAAGGAAGCUUCGGCCUCCGUAUCGGGAGGGGCCCGCGGCCCAUUAGUUUGUUGGUGAGGUAACGGCUCACCAAGACCGCGAUGGGUAGCUGGUCUGAGAGGACGAUCAGCCCCACUGGGACUGAGACACGGCCCAGACUCCUACGGGAGGCAGCAGUGGGGAAUCUUGCGCAAUGCGCGAAAGCGUGACGCAGCAACGCCGCGUGGGGGAAGAAGGCCUUCGGGUUGUAAACCCCUUUCAGGAGGGACGAAGGUUCGGCGGUGAAUAGCCGUCCGGACUGACGGUACCUCCACAAGAAGCCCCGGCUAACUACGUG